rnacentral:rRNA from 1 species
CCUACGGGUGACAGCAGUGAGGAAUAUUUGUCAAUGGGCUUACGCCUGAACCUGCCAAGUCGCGUGAGGGCAGACUGCCCUAUGGGUUGUAAACCUCUUUUGUCAGGGAGCAACGCCGGCUACGUGUAGCCGGACUUAUAGUACCUUCAGAAAAAGCCUCGGCUAACUCCGUGCCAGCAGCCGCGGUAAUACGGAGGCUGCGAGCGUUAUCCGGAUUUAUUGGGUUUAAAGGGUGCGUAGGCGGAAUGCCAAGUCAGCGGUAAAAUCGCGGGGCUCAACCUCGCUCCGCCGUUGAAACUGGCGGUCUUGAGUGGGCGAGAGGUAGGCGGAAUGCGUGGUGUAGCGGUGAAAUGCAUAGAUAUCACGCAGAACUCCGAUUGCGAAGGCAGCAUACCGGCGCCCAACUGACGCUGAAGCACGAAAGCGUGGGUAUCGAACAGGAUUAGAUACCCUUGUAGUC